AUGAGAUAUCAAUGUAAUAAUAAAUAAAUAGAUAGAUAGAUAGAUGAUAGAGAGACACAAGGGUCGCUCAUUAAAGAUUUCCCCUGACCCACUUCCGGUUAUCGUAGGAGGAUGAAAUUGCACAUGUGUAAUGAUACAUCUCUCCAUAGGUAAUGUGGUAAUUUAUAGCUCUGAACUCCUAACAGUUUCUCUACUACAGGUGCUAAAGUGGAAUAAUGAUUUUUGUGGUCAAGUCAUGGCUUCUGAUGCAACCUUCUGACUUCUACAGAGAAGGUCUCCACAGUUGCAUAAAGUGAUGGGAGAAGGGUUUGACUCUUGCUGGUAGCUAGAGAAGGACUAAUAGCUGUGCUUAGUUUCAUUUGUCUCAGUCCAUGAGAAGUACAUCAGGGGGAAUCUCUAAUGAACACCCCUCAUAUAUAUCUUUUUUAAUUCUAAUAAAUUUCCUUUGCAAACAUGCUAGUCUGUGAUCAUGCGUUUAGUCUAGGGGUGCUUUUUUCCAAUAGUUGUGAGCAUGGGUAGAAAUCCCGGGUCUCACUGCAGGAGCCUGCAGUUUAGCUCCUUCCCUUGUUGUUGCUCAUAGAUGUGCAUGUGUAAAGACAAGGCAGAGACUGGCGAGGGCGAGGGAGAAAUUCCAUUCAGUUUGUGCAUUCUAAAGGUAACCUAUAGGCACAUUCUAGAAUCAUAUUAUGAUAGGUCACUCCAAUGUCUGUUGAGGGAUGCGAGGUUCUAGGGGUCUUGGCACUUAACCAGGCUUUGUGCUUCCCUGAGAUGAGGCACAACAGUGUCUUUUUUAUGUACUUUCCCCCACACAUAUAUACAGCUUGGCUCUUGGAUGGAAGGGUUACAGCUCCCUACAGCAAACCAGCACUGGACUCCAAGACAUAUCCAUGCCUCUGUCCCAGCCUGCCAAGGUGGUUCUGACCUUCAGCUCCCAUACGGAGGUCUUCUAAUUUCCACUUCCUUGUUCCCAUAACACCUUGCCCCAAAACCUCUGUGUUAAAGGAUAACUUUUUCCAAUGUGACAUCACACCUACGUUGCCCUGGCAACUUGCCUCUCGGUUACCCUUUUGUCUUGUAAAAGGUCUUUGUGAUGGGCUAGUAGCAGGGCCAUCAUCUCGCUAGAGAGCCUGCCAUCCACAGUGGCAUUGGGGAGAGUUGCGUGCCCGCCAACCAGCACACACACCCUGCGCUGCAAUUUAAAACAGACAGGCCGAGCAGGUAAGAGGCAGGUAGCUAUUUAUAUUGUUAGCUGUUAUGAAGAUAAUAAAUAGAAGGUGGAUGCACAGACAAAAUAAAGCCAGCCAGGUACUACUAGUCCCCAAGCAAGUUCAGCCUCCAAAAUCAGUAUCAGUACCUCUAGCCAACCAGCUCCAAAAUUUUAGAAUUAUAGCAUUCUCUUGCAGGACAAAUUAUUCAGAUUUCAUCUUUGUUGUGGUCAGUGCUUCUCUGCAAGAAGGACAUUGCAAGAAAUCUGUUCUGAGAGGGGCAGUAGUUACACCUUUACUGAAGAAGCCUCCUCUCAAUUUGGUGAUUUUGGAAAUUACAGACCAGUUUCCAAUUCAACAGUUUUGGCUAAAAUGGUUGAGCGAGCAAUGAUUCCAUCUCUUUAUGACUUAGGGUUGACUUAGGGCUCGUCCGCUUGACCCACCAUUUUCCCCAGGGGGGAACCCACUGUUUACCUCUGGAUCAGAGCAAAGUCAAGUGGGUUUUCUGUGGAAUGACAUUUAUCCUGAUUUAGAGCUGAAUAAAGAGCUGGAAAGGCAAAACCUCCUGGACCUGUGCUUUUCUUUCUCUAGGUGACCUAUGUGGUCUGACAUGUACCUUCUUUCAGCUGAUAUUAUCCUUUAAUAUAGGGGUAGCUAGCCUGGCUCUGCAGAUGCUACUGAAUUGUAACACUUCUAAUCUCUGCCUAUUGGCCAUGCUGGUGAGGUUGGGAGUCCAGCAACAUCUGAAGGGCACCAUAAUGGCUGCCCCUGCGUACACCAAUAGCCUGCCUUUCCUUCAUCAUGGAACUCGAGGUUAGCAUUCAUAGGGUUCUUAGGCAAACUCUCAUCGAACGACAAAAUAUAUUAUUAUUAUUAUUAUUAUUAUUAUUAUUAUUAUUAAAAUCAUUUUUAUUGAUUUUCCAAUUAAAAACAUCCAAUUAAUAUAUCCAAUCAUAAUACUCCAAUUAAAAUAAAAACUAAAAUAAAAAAACAAAAUUAUAGUCCAAAUUAUAAUUAUUAAUUUUUCGGAGCUCCCCACGGUCUGGAUCUCUGAAGCAUAUCUCCACAUCUCAGCCCUGCCUCUCCUCGUUGUUUCCAUAUUUUCCACAUCUUGAUUUUGACGCUUUAUAAUACAGUGGUACCUCAGGUUACAUACGCUUCAGGUUACAUACGCUUCAGGUUACAGACUUCGCUAACCCAGAAAUAGUACCUCGGGUUAAGAACUUUGUUCAGGAUGAGAACAGAAAUCACGCUCCGGCGGUGCUCCGGCAGCAGGAGGCCCCAUUAGCUCAAGUGGUGCUUCAGGUUAAGAACAGUUUCAGGUUAAGAACGGACCUCCAGAUCGAAUUAAGUACUUAACCCGAGGUACCACUGUAAUAAUAUAUUAUUUAUACCCCACCCAUCUGGCUGGGUUUAUUUAUUUAUUUAUAUUCAUUUGUAUGUGUGCAUUCAGACAAUCAUUAUUAUCCCACAUUAAAUUGCCGUGUUGGCACUUUGCGAUAAAUAAGUGGGUUUUUUGGUUGCAGUUUGGGCACUCGGUCUCUAAAAGCUUUGCCACCACUGCUCUAGAGGCAGGAAAUCUCAUGCCUAGGGGCCAAAUGCAACCCUCCAGGCCACUGUGCCCCAUGGGACUCUCUCCAGGCCACACCUGCUCUUCUGAGAUACUAGAAAUGUGCACUGGUGUAUAGUACCUCCUGUAUCUUAGUAGAGACUUUGUGCAGGGCUCAUAUGCAGCUGGGUGGUGAGACUUUCUUAUAAGCUGGUACACUUUGCUACUUAGAAAGCCACACCUUGGUGGAUAGGUUGGAACAUUUAGGUAUCCCACUGAGCGUCCUUUUCCAUAACUUGAAAAAUAAUCAGAAUACGUUGGGUGUUUUAAGCCAUCUUUGUAUUCCAGUGUCACUCCCACGAAAUGUAUUGGCCAGAAUUUGAUUCUUAAGAUCAAAUGCACAUGCAUUUUUCAUUUUGCCUCUUAGGUCUGUUCUCAUCUUUCCCCCCCAACUAGGCAAAAAGUAUGUUUCAUCUGUCUGCUGGUGUUGUGUUCAAAUCUGUUUGCAUCACAUCACAGAGGGGAGCAUGAGCAGAUGUAAGCUUACAGAACGUAGUAUAAGAUCAUACUGAGCAGAGAUUAAAGGAACUGGCAGCUUUGGUUUUCAUUAAUGUAGAAUGUGUCCAGUAAAUUUAGGACUACGAUUUAUGGAGCCUGAAGGCUUUCAGAUUUGCUGAAAGAAAAGGGGGAAAUCAAAACUUCGAUCAUAGACAGUCAUGGGCAUUUCUAAGCGCUCUGUGGAAUAUCACCAACAUUAUAACUGUUGCUGAAUUGAAUUUUUUGCAAUUGAAAAAUAAAAAUAAAAAUGCCAAAGCCCCUUGAAAACUCCAUUUGCUUGACUUUUCUUGCACCUGCUUGCAACUGAGUAUGCUGCUGCUCAAGUACCAUUUGCCAACACACCUCUCCCAUUUCAAUUCUUCCAUCUCCUGAGCCAAUUGCCAACCACACACAGUGAUUACACACAGCAAGGUCUGAGGAAACUCCUCCCCCUCACUGCGUACUCCUUGGGGAUAUGACCCUGACAUGUGUACCGUGGCCCCUUUGGCCAAAGUUCACCCCGAUGAGCCUGACAGGCCCAAACAACACUCUGGCUCCAGUAUUAGUCAGAUAUUUUCAAAAAUCCACUCACCUACGUGAACCAAAUGCCAGUUAGCCAAAUUCUCAGAAAACACCACUCCAGUCAUGAAGACAACAUGGUGGACUAGGGAUUGAUUUGGCUGGAGAUCAGGCUAUUCAAAUUCACUCCAUACCACACUCUCCCCUCUUCUCAUUGAGACACGCACCCUCCCACUUCUUUUCCAGUGUGGUCUCUGCUAGUUGACUUCUUUGAGGGGAAUGAGUAGGAUUUUUUUUCAGGUGACACUAAUUGGCCUAUGUCACAUAUUUUUUGCCUACUUCCCUUCCCCUACAUUUCCCCCAUUUACCAAAAUACUCAACUGUCAAUGCACUGCAAAAAAGGACCUGUUUUUCUUGUCACGCAAAGGCAGAUGACACAAAUCCAACGUAUGUCUACUCAGAAGUGAGUCUUACUGAAUUUAAUGAGGCUUACUCCCAGGUAAGAUUGCAGCAGGGCGAUCCAUGCAUUCUUCUUUUUCGAGGCAAGCCUUGUCAUUGCAAAUGAGGCAAUGUGAUUCGUUAUCAUUAUGUCAUUUUCAGUGCAAAGAUAUGAAGAGACAAAAUGAGAAAAUAUGGCAUCUUGUCAGAAAUGAAAAUCGUAAACACUUGUUUCAGGAGAGGGAGUGCUUCUCAGGGCAAUUUUUUCCCCUAAGCAAAAUAUAAAUAUGUGCUGAGAAGAGAAAGUACUGGAGCACAAAGAGCUGGAAAGUGUUACUAUCAUUAUCCUGAUUUUUAUGAAUGUAUUUUAGGACUUUCUCCUUGACUGGGGAGCCUGACUGGGAUUAGCCAGAGUUUGCAUUAUGUAUUUGUCUGUAAGGAAGGCACUGGGGGUGACAACAGGAAUUCUAACAAAAACAGAAAGUUUUCCUUUUUUAGGGUAGUUAAUUCUCCAUGAACUAUUGCUCAUAUAUGCACACAUGCUGGACUGCAGAACUUCCUUUUUGUAUGUAGAAACUUCAACAUUGCUGAAGAUGACUGGGAGUGGCCACCGAGACCUUAUAACACCGGUCCUGAAAGACCUACAUCAGCUUCUAGUACGUUUCUGAGCACAAUUCCAAGUGUUGAUGCUGACCUUUAAAGCCCUAAACAGCCUCAGCCCAGUAUACCUGAAGGAGCGUCUCCACCCCCAUCAUUCAGCUGAGACUUGCCAUGGACAAAUUCAAUGAUAUUUGGAAUCCAUUCUUACAAAUACUGUAAUAGGUUAAGAUCUGGUGAAGUACAAUAACAACCUCGUAAAAUAUACAGUUUUGGAUUUCCCUCUCCCCCUUUUGUUUUCCCUUUUGCACGGGUUCUGUUUCUCUUUCUCUCUUUUCCUCUUUUUUUGUUUUCCAUCUCACCAUGUUUGGUUCACAUAUAGCUAUGCACUUUUUGAACUUCCAAUAAAGA
rnacentral:lncRNA from 1 species